rnacentral:tRNA from 3 species
CGAGGCGUAGCUACAAUACAAAGCAUUCAGCUUACACCUGAAAGAUAUCUGCCAAGUACCAGAUCACCUCGA